GGCAGCAUUGGAGUAGCAAUACUUCAGAUGGCGACCGGCGCACGGGUGAGUAACACGUAUCCAACCUGCCGCUUACUCGGGGAUAGCCUUUCGAAAGAAAGAUUAAUACCCGAUGGUAUAAAGAGUUCGCAUGUUCUCUUUAUUAAAGAAUUUCGGUAAGCGAUGGGGAUGCGUUCCAUUAGAUAGUUGGCGGGGUAACGGCCCACCAAGUCUACGAUGGAUAGGGGUUCUGAGAGGAAGGUCCCCCACAUUGGAACUGAGACACGGUCCAAACUCCUACGGGAGGCAGCAGUGAGGAAUAUUGGUCAAUGGACGAGAGUCUGAACCAGCCAAGUAGCGUGAAGGAUGACUGCCCUAUGGGUUGUAAACUUCUUUUAUAAGGGAAUAAAGUGAGGGACGUGUCCCUUUUUGUAUGUACCUUAUGAAUAAGGAUCGGCUAACUCCGUGCCAGCAGCCGCGGUAAUACGGAGGAUCCGAGCGUUAUCCGGAUUUAUUGGGUUUAAAGGGAGCGUAGGUUGACGUAUAAGUCAGCUGUGAAAGUUUACGGCUCAACCGUGAAAUUGCAGUUGAUACUGUAUGUCUUGAGUGUACAAGAGGUGGGCGGAAUUCGUGGUGUAGCGGUGAAAUGCUUAGAUAUCACGAAGAACUCCAAUUGCGAAGGCAGCUCACUGGGGUACAACUGACACUGAGGCUCGAAAGUGUGGGUAUCAAACAGGAUUAGAUACCCUGGUAGUCCACACAGUAAACGAUGAAUACUCGCUGUUUGCGAUAUACAGUAAGCGGCCAAGCGAAAGCAUUAAGUAUUCCACCUGGGGAGUACGCCGGCAACGGUGAAACUCAAAGGAAUUGACGGGGGCCCGCACAAGCGGAGGAACAUGUGGUUUAAUUCGAUGAUACGCGAGGAACCUUACCCGGGCUUGAAUUGCAGAGGAACAUAGUUGAAAGAUUAUGGCCGCAAGGUCUCUGUGAAGGUGCUGCAUGGUUGUCGUCAGCUCGUGCCGUGAGGUGUCGGCUUAAGUGCCAUAACGAGCGCAACCCUUAUCAUUAGUUACUAACAGGUCAUGCUGAGGACUCUAGUGAGACUGCC
rnacentral:rRNA from 1 species